CUUACUUCUUCUUUCCCAAUCAAAGAAAACCCUACCGCCGCCAGCCUACCUCGCCGCUGUCCGUCACCGUUCGAGUUCCACCAUCGCGUCUCUCCAUCCCAGUGAAGCCGAAGUGUCUCCAUCUCUCUGUCCACCCGAAGCUAGCCGUCACUCCGAACAUUUUCCGUCAAGCGACCGUGUCUCACCUCUGUUUCGCAUGUCGUCCACCCUUGUCUUCGUCUUUACCGAAGCCUUCAUCUGCCGCAGAGAUGUUUCCGUCAAACGAGUCGAGCAUCUCUACCUCUGUCGUCGUCUUUCGGCCUCCAUCGUUUCUGUUCAACGUAGCUGAGUCGUGUCCCUUGCAACCCGAGCCAUCUUAUCUUCAAGUCGUCUUCCUCUGUCCCCGAGCCGUGAAGUCGUCUCCCUUGUGUGUGAGCCGAUUCCCUUCCUAGCCUAGUCGCAGCCUAUUUUCUUAAGCCAUUUAAGCCACCCGGACCUUGAAAUCAUUUAUUGACGGAGGUAGAGGAAAGCUGGCGAAUGACAAGAAGUGACCGCAACUUACCAUAGCGGAAAAUUUUAUGCUUCCGCUUUAUGUUCACGCAAGCCUUGUUGAGGAGAUAUCCGGAGACCAAAUUCUUUCGAAUUUUUGGAGUAUGCAAAACUUCUUUCAACACAAGCGUCUUACCAGAUGUGAAUUUCAAUUCUACUUCUCCAAUGCUGGGCAUCUUGGUUGUGUGAUGAUCUCUCAUAAGGAUAUUCUUAUCCUUAACCUCAUUAUAUUUUCUAAAAAGACUAAGGUCGUGGCAAACCAGUGUCUAGACACCAACCUUCAGACCCCCAAUGACAUUAACUUCAGGAAUCAUAACUACUAACUCAUCUUCUAUCAGGUUCACCUGCGCAGCAAAACGAUUCAUGUUUUUACAAUUUCUAGCUAAAUGUCCAAGCUUAUUACAGUUAUAACAAACAAUUUGUACUGUACUUUUGGACUAGGGGUUGUUCAGUUUGUUGGAUCCACGUUUCAUCUUGUUUUCUUUUGGCUUCAGGUCCUGUUUCAGCACUGCAGUGGGCUUUUUUCUAGGGAUAUCAUUCACCUCCUUCUUUUGUUCAUACUUCCUUACCUCCUCCUCUAUCUUAUCUCGUGAUUAGAUUUUCCAGUGAGAACUCCUUGGUUUUGUCCCUUAGAGUGUUCUUGAAAUCCUUCCAUAGUGGGGGCAAUUUAUCAAUAAUAAUAGUAACUUGAAAUUGAUAGUCAAGUGGCAUACAUAUACAUUCACUAAUAAUU